CACAGUAAACCUAUUUCUGAGAAAGGCAUUGCCCAAUGUGUCGAUGUCCGCUAUCUUAUGUGGGGUGAGGGCCAGUGAGUCAGGGAGGAAACAUACCAGAAAAUGAUCUUCGAUGACUAACACAGAAGGGGCUGUUCUCAUGUUGCCCUGAUGGAAAAAUUGGUGGGAUUGCAGGAAUUAAUAAGAACUAUCAGCCCUGCUUGGAUAUUCUGUCCUAAAAUGGUGACAUUUCUGGAGGCUGGGAAGUCCAAGAUCAAGGUGCUUGGUGAUUCGAUGUCUGUGUGAUGGUGUUAGGAGGUGACGUCUUUGGGAGGUGAGAACGUCGUGAGGGUUGAACCCGCAGGAAUGGGGUCAGCAUCCUGAUAAAGACACCCUUGUUCCUCUCCUACGACGUGAGGACACAGUGAGAAGAUGGCCAUCUGAGAGCCAAGAAUCGAGCUGUCACCAGAUACCGAAUCUGCCAGCCCCCCUGAUCUUGGACUCACCAGCCUCCCGAACCACGAACAAUAAAUAUUUGCCGUUUAAGCCACCUGUCUGUAGAUAUUUUUGUUUAGCAGCCUGUAUGGAUUACAACGCCA